UCAUCCCAAUCCGAACUUAAUAAUGAAAAAUAAAAUAAAAUAUUAAUCUAUCUAUUGAAAAGUAUGAAAUAAUCGAUGUACUCUGAAAACUUAAGCUUGUAGAGAACGGUGUUUAAAUAUUUUUAUAUUUAAUACUCUUCCUCAUGUCUGAAGUUGAAACUUUUUUAUAGACUCAUAACACAGACUUAAAUUAAAUGGGCGAAAAUUAAUAACACUAUCUUUCAUAUUUUUUAUUUUUAUGUCAUUCACUUUUUACUGCAUAAAAAGUAGGACCGAAAGAAUUUCAGUUCUACAACACAAAAAAAAAAAAAAAAAAAAACUAACGAAAAAAUAAAAAUAGAAAAAGGUAAACUUUAAAUACGACCCAUAUGAUUUCACACUUUCUUAUUUUAGUACCAUAUAGUUUAAAGUGUAUCAAGUUAGUAUCCUGUGGUUUUAUUUUUAUUUUUUCGUUAGUUUUUUUGUUAAUAUUUCGUUAAAUUAUAUACAAAAAACUUCAGAUACCCCACUUAGGCUUAUCGAAUAUUCACUCUAAUACCCUUUAGUUUUAACUUUAUUAUUGAUUUAAUAAAAAAAAUUAGUAGAAUCGAUUUAAAAAAAAGAUAGAAGUAAAACACACAGACUUUAAAUCAAAGAGUACUAAGGUGAAAACGUGUGACUAUGAGGGUGGUACUUGAAAUUU
rnacentral:lncRNA from 1 species